rnacentral:rRNA from 1 species
UGGGGAAUCUUGGACAAUGGGGGCAACCCUGAUCCAGCCAUGCCGCGUGAGUGAUGAAGGCCUUAGGGUCGUAAAGCUCUUUCGCCUGUGAAGAUAAUGACGGUAGCAGGUAAAGAAACCCCGGCUAACUCCGUGCCAGCAGCCGCGGUAAUACGGAGGGGGUUAGCGUUGUUCGGAAUUACUGGGCGUAAAGCGCACGUAGGCGGACCAGAAAGUUGGGGGUGAAAUCCCGGGGGCUCAACCCCGGAACUGCCUCCAAAACUAUCGGUCUAGAGUUCGAGAGAGGUGAGUGGAAUUCCAAGUGUAGAGGUGAAAUUCGUAGAUAUUUGGAGGAACACCAGUGGCGAAGGCGGCUCACUGGCUCGAUACUGACGCUGAGGUGCGAAAGUGUGGGGGAAGCAAACAGGAUUAGAUACCCUGGUAGUCCACACCGUAAAACGAUGAAUGCCAGUCGUCGGGUAGCAUGCUAUUCGGUGACACACCUAAC